rnacentral:rRNA from 1 species
GGAUCGCAGGCUGNAACCCGCCUGCGUGAAGUUGGAAUUGCUAGUAAUCGCGGAUCAGCAAGCCGCGGUGAAUACGUUCCCGGGCCUUGUACACACCGCCCGUCACACCAUGGGAGUCGGAAAUGCCCGAAGUCAGUGACCCAACCGUAAGGAGGGAGCUGCCGAAGGUGGAGCCGGUAACUGGGGUGAAGUCGUAACAAGGUACC